UACGUAGGGUGCGAGCGUUAAUCGGAAUUACUGGGCGUAAAGUGUGCGCAGGCGGCCGAGCAAGUCGAGUGUGAAAGCCCCGAGCUUAACUUGGGAACUGCGCUCGAAACUACUUGGCUAGAGUGUGGCAGAGGGAGGUGGAAUUCCACGUGUAGCAGUGAAAUGCGUAGAGAUGUGGAGGAACACCGAUGGCGAAGGCAGCCCCCUGGGUCAAGAUUGACGCUCGAUGCACGAAAGCGUGGGGAGCAAACAGG
rnacentral:rRNA from 1 species